rnacentral:rRNA from 1 species
GACGAACGCUGGCGGCGUGCUUAACACAUGCAAGUCGAACGGUGAAGGGGUCUGCUUUUGUGGGCCCUGGAUGAGUGGCGAACGGGUGAGUAACACGUGAGUAACCUGCCCCCUUCUUCUGGAUAACCGCAUGAAAGUGUGGCUAAUACGGGAUAUUCUGGGUCUGUCGCAUGAUGGGUCUGGGAAAGAUUGCGCCUUUGGGUGUUUUUGGUGGGGGAUGGGCUCGCGGCCUAUCAGCUUGUUGGUGGGGUGAUGGCCUACCAAGGCGGUGACGGGUAGCCGGGCUGAGAGGGUGGACGGUCACACGGGGACUGAGACACGGCCCAGACUGCUACGGGAGGCAGCAGUGGGGAAUAUUGCACAAGGGGCGCAAGCCUGAUGCAGCGACGCCGCGUGAGGGAUGGAGGCCUUCGGGUUGUAAACCUCUUUCGCCAGUGAAGCAGGCCUGCUCCUUGUGGGUGGGUUGACGGUAGCUGGAGAAGAAGCGCCGGCUAACUACGUG